UCUCUUGUUAACCAAUGAUUUAGGUUUCUUUUUAUUUCUUCAAAUUUUCUGUGAUAUUUUUGGAUUCUCUUAUUGCCAAGUUUUUAGAUAGAUGAAUGCCCAAGUAUUUAACAUCAUUCUUAACUGGAAUCAUCUCCACCUGUACGCUGUUUGCGUACCCAAUUCUCCUGUUUGAUCGAGUUCAAGCCAAACAGUGACAACAGCGCCUACCAGGGUCACAGAAUACGAUGGUCACAGAAUUUGGUGUAACACCGGGGUGAGGAUGGAUCACACCUCUUUAACAGAGAGAAUAACUCACGUUUUUUUCUCAAUCUCUCUUAAAUAGCCUACAGAUCUGUCAUAUCGACACACACAGGCAACGACUAACACGGAGGACUGCCAUCACAACGGGCACUUAGAUACCCCUACUUCCAAGUAGGCCAAGUUCUGGGCCCCCUACCCAUGACCCCCGAUGUAUGGAAGGCUCAGAUAUAGACGACCCUGCCUAUUGAAUUCAUAUCAGAGCUGCAAUCUAUCUCAGAACCAGCGUUGCCAUCACAGACUAAAGGCCAAAGCAGAAGCUCCCAUCAGCCACUGCAGAAGAUUCCUCUGCCCCAGUCUCUUUCUCAGACAGACACUCUCGCUCCAUACACACACAAGGCUCCUGCCACUUAGCGACAAUCCUUUCCUUACAGAAAGGGCACCAUGGCAAAUAUUGCAACACGAAGACAACAGUGUAAGAAUGGAGCUACGCAAUGGGAUUCCCAAAUCAAUGGAAGAACUCAUCGAAGAGGACAAGAAUCCAUGUGGAUUAGGAGGACACAUAAGGCUGUAGUACAAGGACACUGAUUUUGGGAACAUAUUUGUGAAUCUGACCUCUACAACUGUAAUUAAGGAUCUCUCAGUUAUCAAAGUUGUCCAAUUAGACCCUGAUACCACAACUAUUGUUUUGUACCCAGUUGAUCCCACAAUAAGUAGCAUCCCUUCAGGUGGACAGAACAGUGAAGAUUCCUCUUCAGGAUCUGCACAUACAGAUGACACCAUAAUUCUUAGCAGCUGUUCCCCAGAAUCAUUAAGAACACAGCAGUGGUCAAAAGUGCUCCCAAACCCACUCUUCUCCAAUGACACAGAAUGUCAACUACAGAGGGGAAAUGAUGAGUACACAAGAAGCAAAUCUAGGUUGACACCUUGCUCAAAAAUGCUGUCUGACAUACUGGAGAAAGUGGCUGAAAAAGUCUACACAUACAAAGCAUACCCUACAGAUGCUGACUUCAGUGAUGUUGCUGAGUCACUGACAAAGCCCCUGCCUGAGAGAACCAGGGUCUUUCAAUGAGAGCUAUGGAUGGAAACAAAGGCUCAAGGUAAAAAUGUCCAACUACCGGACUCUACUUACGGCACAUGGAACAUCUGCAGAGCUCACUGUGAAUUCUUUGAAAUCCAAGUCUCCAGAGGUGGCCUACCCAGCAAAGAAUUUGAAGAGACCUAGACGAGCUGAGGUCAACCAUUUUCCACCCUUGCCAAGUGGUGAGACUCCAGAAAGCCUUGAACAAGAGAGGAUUUCUCUUCUGGCAGAACUACAGCAAAGAAACAACAGACAAGCAAUAAAAGAAAAGAUGGCAAAGACGUUUGGAUACCGGAGACAAGAAAUUGUGCAUAAGAAGCCGAGCAUUGAAGACGUCUUCGAGAGAUGGCCUGCACUUUUUCAGAUGGAAGAGUUGCACAAGCACUUCACUAAACUGUUGGAGGUCAUCAGGAGCAAGGGAGGAGUUGUGAAAGAGAAGACCACCAGGACCUUGUAGGUUUUAGAUGAGACUGUGGACAUCACCAUCAGAAGAGAAUGUAUCCUCAAAUCUCUGAUGAUCUACCUCGGCGAACCUGUUGAGCACCUUAUCAAAGAAUACCAGGAAAAUGAGGUUGAAGAACUGGAGCAAACAACCAUGGCGAUCUUUAUCACCGGGAAAGAGGAUCCUCUCCAUCCACCCAAAGACAUUAAAAUUGUCAUCGAAGGAACAGAGGUCCUGAACGAGUUGCCCUCGGUUGCAACUGCUUUUGCCAUGGUCUUUGGGCUCAUAUUCACACUUAACCUAAAAUAUCCGAAAAGGCUGCAGUUCACCUUUGAAUUUGUGCAAAAGGUCCUGAUGGAGCUUGAUGGAAAAAAGAUGACCCCAAAAGUCACUAGACUGACCACCCAGCUGUAUAGCACAGAGUAGGCAGUGCUGAAUUGCACAGACUUGCUUGAUUUAAUUUUCCAUUUGUUGUUCAAUUUUAUGAUGUUUUUACAGCCAAGACUUUGGAUUCUUUUUAUAAGAGGUGGCACUUACAAGGCUGCAUUUUCACUGCAGCAUUUACAAAUGUGGCUGCCCAAGUUCGAUGGCUACCAGCUUCAAAGGCCGAAGUAGCCCAAGUGUUAUGUAUAACUGGAGAGACUGAUUGCAGUGUUCAAAAUUGUCAAUCUUCAUACAUUUGAAACAAAUGUUCAAUGUUGUCAGUUUAUUGAACAAUAAAUAUGUGUUCUAAAGGAAAGUGUUCUGAGUAGUCAUUGAUCAAAAUGUAUUAAAAGCAUUUUUUUUUAUUAUACAUUUCAAAUAAUGACAACUGAUAUUUUUU